ACAGGAACUGACUCAGCACUGUGCUAACCUGUUCCACUGUGAGUACAGUAUCUGUUCACAAAAAUGCUUCUUGCGUUUUAGAGAUCUUUUGUAGACUCGUUUGGGAUCUAAGUUAGGCUGGUACUCAGUGAAAUAGUACUUUAUACCAAACCAGAGACGUGGUAACAGUUGUCGGACUAACGACAAAUCAUGGCUUUUUUAGGACACUAUAACGUCACCCCCUCCCACGACACGAAGAAAGCGAAAAUAAAGUCAACAGGUGAGAGCCGGUAUUCUCAGUCCUACUGCCAUACCUGUCUUUCGUUGGUCUGCCAGGUAAUCCUGUCUCGUUGCAGCAGUACUCAGCGGUAUGGCAACCGUGCCGCCUCCGCCGUACCACGGGGCUGUGAACUACCAGGGACAACCCUCAGGGCCUCCCCUACAGAAUUACGGCUAUCCAAUCCAACAAGCCUACGCACAUCAGGGUCCGGGGCAACCCUCAGGGCCUCCCCUACAGAAUUACGGCUAUCCAAUCCAACAAGCCUACGCACAUCAGGGUCCAAACGCAGUCGGUUUUGGACAGGUUCCAUACCCUGUCAAUCCUCCUCCUGUCACCACCCAACCUGUCGUCACUCCUUACGGUGUCGUCGUAGAGGAGCGUGCGGCGCCCCCUGUGGCCGUACAAGGUACUGCAGCAACGCCUCCACAUGAUGGUAAAAAGAAACGACGCAGGCAUGGCCGCACAAGUGACUGGUGUGGCUGGUGCUACUGUGGUCCCGGAUGUGACUGUGACUGUUGUGACUGUGACUGCGGUGACUGUGACUGCGGGGACUGUGGUUUAUUGGGAUGCUUAUGUUGUAUUUGCGAUUAGGCCACACCAAGUAAAUUUUAUGGAUGACGUCCUUUGGAGACCCUAAAUCUAAUGCGAGAGGGCGAAAAAAAAAACAAGAUGCCUAGAUUGGAAAUAUACUAAGAGACGACAAAUGUGACACAGUGUAACAAGCAAGAGGUAUUUUAUUCAUCAUCAAAACAGCAAUAAAUUAGGUGGAAC